rnacentral:rRNA from 1 species
GACGAACGCUGGCGGCGUGCUUAACACAUGCAAGUCGAACGGUGAAGCGCCUUCCUUUUUGGUGGGUGUGGAUGGGUGGCGAACGGGUGAGUAACACGUGAGUAACCUGCCCCCUUCUUCUGGAUAACCGCAUGAAAGUGUGGCUAAUACGGGAUAUUCUGGGUCUGUCGCAUGAUGGGUCUGGGAAAGAUAUUGUUUCGGUGGGGGAUGGGCUCGCGGCCUAUCAGCUUGUUGGUGGGGUGAUGGCCUACCAAGGCGGUGACGGGUAGCCGGCCUGAGAGGGUGGACGGUCACACUGGGACUGAGGCACGGCCCAGACUCCUACGGGAGGCAGCAGUGGGGAAUAUUGCACAAUGGGCGCAAGCCUGAUGCAGCGACGCCGCGUGAGGGAUGGAGGCCUUCGGGUUGUGAACCUCUUUCGCCAGUGAAGCAGGCCUGCCUCGUUUGUGGGUGGGUUGACGGUAGCUAGAUAAGAAGCGCCGGCUAACUACGUG